AAUCUCCGCCCUUCACCUCUUGACGUGCAACUGCCAUCUUGUUUUGCUUCCUUGCUUGCUCCGCAACAGUCCGCCAAUUUGUUGACCAAUCGCGCUGUCUCGUCACAACAACAAACACGCUCCCUAUCGGAUGUUUUUCGCCAGCAAGAAGACCGUAGUUCAGAAUUGUUUCUGCGCCCUGCACUUUGUUCCAACACUGGAAAUGGUAUGCAAAAAUGUUUUUGACGUUAUUAAAUAAGACUCAAAAGAUUCUGUGAAAUGAAUGGAAAUCAUCCAGCAACUAUAUAUUGUUUAUUUGUUGCAUUGAUGGAAUGUAAUUGUAUCCCUCUGGAAUAUUGGUAAG